AUUUUUGAUAUUUAAUCACCAGUAAUGUGGAUAUAACGACUAAGUGGGUAAAGGCAAAUAAUCAAACGGUUACAAAAGUCUGGUAAGGUGAGAAAAUUACAA